AGCAAUACUGCACUGGUAAGGUAUGGAUCCGAACCCUCUUGAAGGUCAACAAAGGCUCUCCAUACCCUACUUCGACUCAACACGUCCCCGGCGCAUAGAACGAUAACAUGUCUCUCCAAAUAUCUGAGCUUGGGUGUACGGGGAAACCCAACCCCUUCGGCUGAUGGGUGAUAUGGCUAAAUUGAGCGGA
rnacentral:ribozyme from 1 species